AGAAAACAAACCUGGCGCCAAGAGAGAAGAUUUGGAGAGACGUGGAUUUGGUGGCUGAGAUUGUUGUCUGACUACAAUGUUGAAGUGUGUCUCGGCAAGUCUGUCGGUGCUGUUAAGGAGAAGUCUUUCAGGUCUGGGUGUUUUGAUAAGCAGAGAGCGGAUAGGAGUACACGGCAACGGCAGACAUAUCGCCUUCCCAAGGAUGAUGCAGUCAAACAUGUCACCUUGUGUUCACCCGAAACUCUGGCGUCCGUCUUCGACUAAUCAAAAACACGCCUCAACUUGUGUGUGACAUCAGAUGAAAAGUGACGGCGUGGCUCUAAGUUUGAAUUCUCAUCAAUAAAAACUGAGAUCAGACUCACACACAAACAAACGUACACCAACGACGGCCUAUACUUAAGUUCAAGUUUAAGGACGAGUGUGUCAUGAGG